rnacentral:rRNA from 1 species
UACGUAGGGACCAAGCGUUGUUCGGAUUUACUGGGCGUAAAGGGCGCGUAGGCGGCAAUUCAAGUCAUCUGUGAAAUCUCCGGGCUUAACUCGGAACGGUCAGAUGAUACUGCUUUGCUAGAGUGCGGGAAGGGGCAAUCGGAAUUCUUGGUGUAGCGGUGAAAUGCGUAGAUAUCAAGAGGAACACCUGAGGUGAAGACGGGUUGCUGGGCCGACACUGACGUGAUAGCGCGAAAGCCAGGGGAGCAAACGGGG